GACGAACGCUGGCGGCGCGCUUAACACAUGCAAGUCGAACGGAAAGGCCCUGCUUUUGUGGGGUGCUCGAGUGGCGAACGGGGGAGUAACACGUGAGUAACCUGCCCUUGACUUUGGGAUAACUUCAGGAAACUGGGGCUAAUACCGGAUAGGAGCUCCUGCUGCAUGGUGGGGGUUGGAAAGUUUCGGCGGUUGGGGAUGGACUCGCGGCUUAUCAGCUUGUUGGUGGGGUAGUGGCUUACCAAGGCUUUGACGGGUAGCCGGCCUGAGAGGGUGACCGGCCACAUUGGGACUGAGAUACGGCCCAGACUCCUACGGGAGGCAGCAGUGGGGAAUAUUGCACAAUGGGCGGAAGCCUGAUGCAGCAACGCCGCGUGCGGGAUGACGGCCUUCGGGUUGUAAACCGCUUUCGCCUGUGACGAAGCGUGAGUGACGGUAAUGGGUAAAGAAGCACCGGCUAACUACGUG
rnacentral:rRNA from 1 species